UUUCAUUUCGUGAAAACCUAAGUCAGAGAGAAGAGAAACACUUUUCUCUUUUUUCUCUUCUUCUUCACCAAAACUGCUUAGAUUUAAGGUUUCUCUUGAACUUCAAACCCUCAAUUCAAUAAAUCUUAUAAUCUAAUCAAAACCCAUCUUCAAGAAUGUCGAUCUACAAUCUAUAAAAAAAUUUCCAAACCUAAUUGUUCUCUGAAAUCUAAAAUCAAAUCAUUCAACCUCAGAUUCAACAGCAGUUUAUUGGAUUAUCAUCAGGAUGUGAGUUGGAGCAUGAGUUUGUGACAGAGUUGCCGAAAGAGAUCUUUAAGAGGCCUAAACUUAAGAACCACUCACUUGGAUUGAGAAGAUCUGGAGCAGUCAAGUCUUCCAAUCAUGUUCCAUCAUCGGAAAAGACAGGCAUUCCUAUCAGCACGAAAGGGUUGUUGGCUUUUUGUACCCGAAGGUGUUAACAUAUUGAGCUUGUUGGAUAUUCAUCUUACAUAGAGAUUUGUUUACUACAGAAAUUUGAAUACAUUGUUUCUUUUUGUCCUAGUCGCUCAAAAUGUUGUAUGCUUUUUGUUUCUUUUGUAUUGGAUGUUCAACUUCUUACUUUUCUUUUUGUUGGCUGUAUACCUAUAAGGUACCAACGUAUUGAGCGCGGCUGUUAAUCGCAUGUAGAGUACAACAUGUCCAUCUCUUCGAGAGAUACAUCAUCACAUCAACUAGAAGACAAACAGCUUGUGGUGAUCUCCCAGGGCAGUUGUUCUACUAAGAACUGGAAAGCAAGUGGAGGUAUUCUAUCGACUUAUUUCUAUACCUACAGUUCUUCUUUUCUUGUUCGCAUAUCAGUUCUGUGACAAUUGUCCAUGGAUUUCAAAAAUUAUGGAUAAAACAGGUGGGUAAAAUAUUAAAAUCAAAAGCAUCCCCAGCUCCAUGAAAUAUCAAGUAUGCAGCUCUAGUAAUUAGAGGCUCAUCAUCAUUGAAGGAUAUUAUUACCUGAUUCAUGAAAAUGAGAGAUGAGAAGGGCUCAUGGAAUUGGGUUGACUUUCCUAACAAAGUGGCAGUACAACUGAAUGAUACUCAUCUUACUCUUGCGUCCAGAGAUGAUGCGUCUGCUAACAGAUGUAGAAGGACUUAGCCGGGAAAAACUUGGGAUAUAACAACUAAAAGUGAAUUUAUGAAGAAGAAGAUGAAAAGAUGGGAGUAAUAUCGAGAUGGGUAGUGCCCGCCUGCGACACCAUUUGUGGUAGAUAAAAAGGUGGCGGAGUUGAAUGAUAUGAAAAGUGGCAAGCUAUGUGAAUAUGCUUUUGUGUGCACCCCCAAGGUAUAUUAUUUACUCUCUUUUUAGUAACCACGUCAAUUAUGGCCAGAUGGACUGUACAAUAGCUUGGAAGUGCAUUAAGAGGUGCUGGUGUUGAACAAUAUAAACCCCAAGAUACUUGUCAUCUUUUCUACUAUGGUAUUAUAAGUAGCUAUUCAUCGAAGAAUUUAGUAGUGGAGCUUCAGCAGGCUUGGGUUGUUCUUGCAGUAUAGCAUUCUACCCGGGAAUUUUACUCGAUCACAUUGACUCUACAGGAUUGAGUUAAUGUUCCUCCAACUGUGGUAGUGUUUGGAAUGGAAAAUACUUCUCAGAAUGUAAGAAUAGAAGGUUAGGGUUUUCAUGGUUUCAAAUUCAGAUACUUGUGUCUAUAACAUUUCGGAUUUUCCGUAAGUUGUUUAAUAUUGUAUGGGUUCAUGGUUCGUUUAUCUAGCUACUCUGUUGAUGUAUGAAUUGUUCUUGAUGGAUUGUGUUGAUCAGUAAUUGUUCUUGAUCGAUUGUGAUUCAGGAGCAGAAAUCUGCCA